UUUAUAUCUCGAUACAAAAUACUUGUUCGUACGUGAACGAGUUGAGGAAAAUAAUCUUUGUAUUGAGUAUAUUAGUACUAAAGAUAUGCUAGCGGAUCCGAUGAUUAAAGGUCUCCCACCUAAAGUUUUCGAAGAACAUGUAUCGAAUAUGGGACUUACUAAAGACCUUAUUUAAUGGCAUAUUGUACUAGCUUAUCUUUUAAUUAAUAAAAUUUCCUCAGUUUGAUUUUGUAUGUCUCUAACAUAUGUUCUGCCGGUGUAAUGACAUAUAGACAAAUAUAAAUACAAAUCAGACGCUAAAGGGCUUAUACAUAUUUUGAUCGUAACUAUUAGGUUUUAAAUUGAGGCUAUAGUAUGAUUAAUGGGGUUCUUGGUUUAAAGCUAAAAUGAGUGUUAACUCCUGGCCAAGCUUACCUAAUACUCAUGAUAAAUAAUUACUUGGCUAAGUGGGAGAAUGUGAGAUUAAAUAUAUAAAUGU
rnacentral:lncRNA from 1 species